rnacentral:rRNA from 1 species
CCUGCAGGUCGACGAUUAGAGUUUGAUCCUGGCUCAGAACGAACGUUGGCGGCGUGGUUGAGGCAUGCAAGUCGCACGAGAACGGGGUAGCAAUACUCCUAGUAAAGUGGCGGAAGGGUGAGGAAUGGGUAGAUAACGUACCCUUGAGAUGGGCAUAACGGCUCGAAAGAGCCGCUAAUUCCCGAUGAGACCACAGGUGGGCAUCCACUAGAGGUCAAAGGCUGGGGAUCUUCGGACCUAGCGCUCAUGGAUCGGUCUACUCCCUACCAGCUAGUUGGUGAGGUAACGGCCCACCAAGGCUGCGACGGGUACCCGGGCUGAGAGGCUGAUCGGGCACAUCGGCACUGAGACACUGGCCGGACACCUACGGGUGGCUGCAGUUCGGAAUAUUCGGCAAUGGGCGAAAGCCUGACCGAGCGACGCCGCGUGCGGGAUGAAGGCCCUUUGGGUUGUAAACCGCUGUCACAGGUGAGCAAGUCAUUCUGGAUGAAUAAGCCAGGAUGUUGAGUUAAGCUUGAGAGGAAGCCCCCGCUAAUCACGUGCCAGCAGCGGCGGUAAUACGUGAGGGGCGAACGUUGUUCGGUGUCACUGAAAUCUCUGGGCUCGUAGGUGGCUGCGUAAGUAAGGUGUGAAAGCCCUCGGCUUACCCGGGGAAUUGCGCCUUAUACUGCGUGGCUUGAGGAUUUCAGGGGAAGGGGGAACUCCAGGUGUAGCGGUGAAAUGCGCAGAUAUCUGGGGGAAGGCCGGCGGCGAAGGCGCCCUUCUGGGAAAUUCCUGACACUGAGGCGCGAAAGCGUGGGGAGCAAACAGGAUUAGAUACCCUGGUAGUCCACGCCCUAAACGAUGGAUACUAAGUAGGGGACCCUGCAAGGGGUUCCUUGCCGGAGCAAAAGCGUUAAGUAUCCCGCCUGGGGAGUAUGG